GAUCCUGGCUCAGGAUGAACGCUGGCGGCGUGCUUAACACAUGCAAGUCGAACGGGAAACAUUUUAUUGAAGCUUCGGCAGAUUUAGCUUGUUUCUAGUGGCGGACGGGUGAGUAACGCGUGGGUAACCUGCCUUAUACUGGGGGAUAACAGCCAGAAAUGACUGCUAAUACCGCAUAAGCGCACAGAACCGCAUGGUUCGGUGUGAAAAACUCCGGUGGUAUAAGAUGGACCCGCGUUGGAUUAG
rnacentral:rRNA from 1 species